rnacentral:RNase_P_RNA from 1 species
GCUGCAAGCCGGCUUAUCGUCCCGAUCCCGAUAUUUAUCGGGAUCGGGAAGGAAAGUCCGGGCAACACAGAGCAUCGUACUUCCUAACAGGAAGGUGUCACGCUUAAGGGCGUGAUAACAGACAGUGCCACAGAAAACAAACUACCUUAACCGAUCGUGCAUCGGACAAGGAAAAGGUGAAAAGGUGGAGUAAGAGCCCACCGCCUUGAUGGUGACAUCAGGGGCAUGGUAAACCUUACGAGUUGAAAGGCCAAAUAGGUCGCACUCACGAAAGUGAUUAGCUGCUCGCUAAUAGCGCAAGCUGGUGUGAUUGGGUAGGCUGCUUGAACCUUACGGUGACGCAAGGUCUAGAUAAAUGAUAAGCACUUCUUCCGAGUAAUCGGCAGCAGAACAGAACCCGGCUUACAGGCUUGCAUUUUUU